rnacentral:lncRNA from 1 species
GUUUCAUCAAUUUUUUCCUGUUUCCCUCAUUGCUACAAUACACACAGGGAGACUCUUUCUGCUUUAAUUGCAUUCUGGAGGAAGAAAAAAAAGCAAACAGCAUGGAAUAUUUUGUUUCCCGUAUGUUGCUGUGUUUUCCCCAGUGAGGGGAAAAAAAAAUCCACCUUGCGAAAAUAACACCUUGUUUCUGCACAUAUUGGCACUUGCACUGCUUCCGUGUCAUGUUUGCUCUGUCAAAACAAGUUUUCCUCACCCCUCAGGGUCAACCUAGCUUUUGAAAACUAAGCUGUCGUCUCCAGGCAUCAUCACUAGCAGUAGCCAGAUAACAGACUAUGAGUUCACAUUCCAGAACGGUUAUGACUAGUGAUGAAUGAGCCAGCUCAGAGACAGAAGGAAUUUCCUACAGGUUAGACUGACCUUCCAAGAAACACUUUUGUCUGACCUAGUGGAGGCAACAAAGAGGAUGCAGUAGUGCAGGGGGGAGAAGGAGGAAGAGAGGAAACCCCGAUUACAACAGAGCGGGAUAUGAUACAGUACAUAUCAUUAUUGUUCAAUGGAUCUGCAUCUUUACCCAGAAUGUUCCAGGUGCCUUAUCAAACCAUAGACGUGGUGCACUUGGCGAAAGUGACUGCGGGAAAGGAGAAUGGGACCCUCAUCUGAUAAUUUUAUCACUUGACUGCCAGACCAUGAAAAAAUCGGUCCUGCUGUGCCCCAUCUCCUAGCCUUUGCACGCAUGACGAAGGAAUAGAGCUUUCAGCAUCCACGACAGAGGUUAUAUAGCAAUACAGUCUAUCUCUUUCCCAACCCCAGUCUCCCUGUACGCAGAUUUGCCCCCCUCUCUUUGCCCUCUCACCCAUAUUUUUCCUUUAAUUUCUCGGAAAAGCAACAACAACAACAACAAAAACACAGAAGAAACAAACGUGUCCCCUGGCAAAGAAAAAAAGGCAUUUUUUGUUUCCCUCUUUUCCUUGGAUUGCUAGUAUUUUCAGUAUAAUGGGGAACAUAGAGUCUAC